rnacentral:rRNA from 1 species
AUUAAACGCUGGCGGCAUGCCUUACACAUGCAAGUCGAACGGCAGCACGGGGGCAACCUUGGUGGCGAGUGGCGAACGGGUGAGUAAAGCAUCGGAACGUGCCCUGGAGUGGGGGAUAACGUAGCGAAAGUUACGCUAAUACCGCAUAUUCUGUGAGCAGGAAAGCAGGGGAUCGCAAGACCUUGCGCUCUGGGAGCGGCCGAUGUCGGAUUAGCUAGUUGGUGGGGUAAAGGCCUACCAAGGCGACGAUCCGUAGCGGGUCUGAGAGGAUGAUCCGCCACACUGGGACUGAGACACGGCCCAGACUCCUACGGGAGGCAGCAGUGGGGAAUUUUGGACAAUGGGCGAAAGCCUGAUCCAGCCAUGCCGCGUGAGUGAAGAAGGCCUCGGUGUAAG